AAAGUCGUAACAAGGUUUCCGUAGGUGAACCUGCGGAAGGAUCAUUAUUGAAAGCAUUUGCGAGGCUGUUGCUGGCGCUCCUUUGGAAUGCAUGUGCACGCUGAGCACUUGAUUUUAUCCUCUUGUGAACCUGUGUAGGCGUUUUAGACUCGAAUCAGAUCACUGAAAAUGUGGAAGGGAGUUUGCUCUAUAUCCGAGCUUUCUCUGUGCUUAGAGUCUCCUUCGUUUACGUUUCUCAUAAACUUAAGAACCAUGAUAUAAACUUGUUAUUUGGUCUUUGCACCAGUAACUCAAAUAAUACAACUAUUGGCAACGGAUCUCUUGGCUCAC
rnacentral:misc_RNA from 1 species